rnacentral:tRNA from 1 species
GGGGUUCUAGCUCAUCGGUAGAGCGCUCGCUUAGCACGCCUUGACGUCGUGUGCGAGAGGUACAGGAUUCGACUCCCUGGUACUCCA